rnacentral:rRNA from 1 species
AUUGAACGCUGGCGGCAGGCCUAACACAUGCAAGUCGAACGGUAGCACAGAGAGCUUGCUCUCGGGUGACGAGUGGCGGACGGGUGAGUAAUGUCUGGGAAACUGCCUGAUGGAGGGGGAUAACUACUGGAAACGGUAGCUAAUACCGCAUAACGUCGCAAGACCAAAGAGGGGGACCUUCGGGCCUCUUGCCAUCAGAUGUGCCCAGAUGGGAUUAGCUAGUAGGUGGGGUAACGGCUCACCUAGGCGACGAUCCCUAGCUGGUCUGAGAGGAUGACCAGCCACACUGGAACUGAGACACGGUCCAGACUCCUACGGGAGGCAGCAGUGGGGAAUAUUGCACAAUGGGCGCAAGCCUGAUGCAGCCAUGCCGCGUGUAUGAAGAAGGCCUUCGGGUUGUAAAGUACUUUCAGCGGGGAGGAAGGUGUUGUGGUUAAUAACCACAGCAAUUGACGUAC